rnacentral:rRNA from 1 species
CCUAGUAACGGCGAGUGAAGCGGCAACAGCUCAAAUUUGAAAGCUAGCCUUCGGGUUCGCAUUGUAAUUUGUAGAGGAUGAUUUGGGGAAGCCGCCUGUCUAAGUUCCUUGGAACAGGACGUCAUAGAGGGUGAGAAUCCCGUAUGUGACAGGAAAUGGCACCCUAUGUAAAUCUCCUUCGACGAGUCGAGUUGUUUGGGAAUGCAGCUCUAAAUGGGAGGUAAAUUUCUUCUAAAGCUAAAUAUUGGCGAGAGACCGAUAGCGCACAAGUAGAGUGAUCGAAAGAUGAAAAGCACUUUGGAAAGAGAGUUAAAAAGCACGUGAAAUUGUUGAAAGGGAAGCGCUUGCAAUCAGACUUGUUUAAACUGUUCGGCCGGUCUUCUGACCGGUUUACUCAGUUUGGACAGGCCAGCAUCAGUUUCGGCGGCCGGAUAAAGGCUCUGGGAAUGUGGCCUCCACUUCGGUGGAGGUGUUAUAGCCCAGGGUGUAAUACGGCCAGCCGGGACUGAGGUCCGCGCUUCGGCUAGGAUGCUGGCGUAAUGG